rnacentral:lncRNA from 1 species
AUGCAUGGUGUACCAUUUGUUUCGAAGCCAAAUCAAUUUUCUUAAUUUUUCUUGAAUUAAAACCGUAUCUGACACUUAUAUUCAACACAUAUUCAUGUACUGGUGUGAAGAUAUGACAUUCUUAUCCUAUACUCAUAUCCGUGCUCAAGUAACAUAAGCUGAACCCGCAAGAUAACUGAUUUAACAUCAUUGCUGCUAGCUAUUGAUGAUUUCACCAAGUAAACUGCAAUCACAAGUGUUGUUCUUAUUCCUUGCAAAAACACAGUCAACAAUCUGAAUCCACAUUCCCAUUUUCGGAACAAAACCAUGGCGUACCAUUUGUUUCAAAGCCCAAUCAACUUCCUUUACCAUCUUCCCCUUACCAAAACCGUGAAUCAACUUCUUGUAUGAAUCAAAACUAGGAUUAACCCUCUCGAAAACCAUUUUCCCCAUAAUCUCCUUUGCUUCCAUAAACCUCGCAGCAUCAAGCAAACCAUACAACACCUCUUGAUAAGACCCUGCAUUGGGAUAACACCCUUUCUUUUUCAUAAUUUCCAACAGCUUCACACCUUCAUCAAUCCUACCUUGUUUCCUAAGACCUGAAAUCAAUAUAUUAAAGCUAACAGCAUCAGCAUCGAUUCCUUCCGUUUCCAUCCUCCCCAUCAACUCAAAAGCUUCAUCAACCUUUCCCUUAUCGCACAACCCGUGCAUUAAAGUAGAAUAAGUUCUAACAUUCGGCUUACACCUUUGUUUAGGAAAUUCAUCGAGCAGUUGGAAUGCAAACUCUAAUUUCCCAUUUUCACACAACCCUUUAAUGAGAAUAUUCAGAGUACAAGCUUCGAUUUCAACACCCAAAUUGGGAGCUUUCCCAUAAACCUCGUGAACAACAUCAAAUAGUUUGUUCGAUACGAGUAAGCUCAAUACGAUAUUGAAGGUUUUAACACUAGGCCAAGUCCCAUACUCUGGCAUGCUAAAAAGGAUCUCGAUUGCCCUUUUGAUUCGACCUCCGACAUGCCCAUACUUUUUAAUCACAUUCUGGAAGAACUCAUCGGAUAAACGACAGGCUUUUUCACGUUUGAGUUUUUCCAUUAUAUUUUCAAUGGAAUCAAAAUCCUGGGCAUAUGCGAGCUUGUUGAUGAGCAAAGUGAAGAGAGGUUCAGUUGGUUUAUAAUCCUUGCGAGCUGAGUAUUGGGCUAGGACUGAAAUGAGAGAGUUUGGAUCUUUAAGGUUGUCAAAGAUUUUGAGGAUUUCGGUCGGGGAGAGCCAGUCUUUGUGGGUUAGUUUGAAAAGAGGAGGGGAAGUGGUGUGGGUUGGUUGAUGGUAGCUGGAAAAUGAGGAGAAAACCGAAAGGGGUUUAAGAGAUGAGAUUUUAGUUGAGAUUGGAUGGUGAAAAAGUGAGGGAAAAUUUUGGGGGUAAGAGCUUUUGACGGAAGAAAGAAGGGAACGUGAAAUCAUGCGUUUGGCCAUUGGAGAAAGUAGAAACUGGAGAGCUAGAAGCUUUCUGCCAUUCGCACUAUAAACGUAUAUAGGGUAAGGGAAAGGCUUAAUACUUGUUUUGACCCCUGUAAUAUAGUAAAAAUCUCAUUUUGACCCUUUUCCUUCACUUUGUCUGUUUACUUUCAUUUCGUCCAUCAUGUUAGUCUAUUGAUCAUUUCCGUAAAUCCCAUGUGUUAGGGUUCCUAUAUCAUAGUAUACAUCCAUAUACUUUAACCCUCCACGUAGUCGCAAUCAAUUGGCUUAAAUGAUCACACACGAGGAUCACUAUAGUAUAAGGACCAAAGUGAGAAUUUUAUUAUUAAUUAAGUGACGAACACGUAAACAUGCACUAAUUUUUUUUUAUAUAGAAAUGGUCAAUGGAUUAAAGUGAUAGAGAAAUGAAAGUAAAGGGCGCAAAGUGAUUGGAAAAGUAGUAAAUGGUUGGAAAAUAUUAAGAGAUUGUAUGAUGCAAAACUUAAAUAAUUUAUCUACUGAAAUUUUGAGGUGUAUUAUUUUGAAGUAAUGAAUCAUUGUUAUUUACAACUAUAUAUUAUAUCUCUUUGAAAUGUACAAAUAAAUUAAUGGGCAGAAUGUUUAUGAAUGUCAGAACUUUAUUUUUGCUUCUUCUUCCCUUCAAGAUUUGGUUGGAUUUGGAGAUGCCUAUUGAAAGCCUGGUUGAAAAGGAAUCGAGUUUUGGAAUGCUGAAAUGAUCGGAAGCCAUCCCAAUAUAGCAAUCGGAGAGAAAAGGGUCGAUCCCAUUCCGUAAUCAUAUGCCUUAGCUAGUACCUCAGUGACCUGCCAGAGUCCAGUGUUCUCAAUAAUUGGCCUCACAGCUUGAGCAACCUGAAGGGAACUAAAAUGUCAGAGGGAAUAAGGCAAAAGUUGCAAACUCUAGAGAAAAACUAUUUGCCGAUCCUCUAAAUAUAUGAACAAAUUUAGAAAAAAAACUUGGGCAUGCCCGUAUUUGAUACUUAUUCUUGAAGUCGAGUAACAUAGUCAACUAGACAUACCAAAAUCAGACCCCAUAUCCAGUCGGCAAAAAUGCAAGACAGCAGACAAGUAAAUCCUUGGACGACAGUUCACAGAUGACUGAGAGAGUGAUAACAAUGGCCAAAAUCCUUUACAAUUGCUUGAUUCCUCAGUCAUAUUGCCCUGGAAUCUUCGGAAGUCAAGACGAGUCUAGCUCAUCAUCUUUGCCAUUCAUCUUGAAACUCCAAGCCAAUAUGUCGUGCGUGAACCGAGGUUAUAUAAACAAUGCAAAUAAAAUAUAUGAAAUUACGGUGUACAGUAAGAAUAGAAAUUAAAUUGUAAUAUAAUUUUAAAUUUAUAAUGAAAUACAGAAAAUAUUUCAAAAAUCGUACUCAAAUAAAUUAUGAACUAAAAUUGAAUUAAACAUUAACAAAGAAUAUACAAAACUAAGUCUAAAUAGCUACUUCCUUACUUCUGAUAGUAUGAUUAAACAUAAAUUGAAAGUAUAAAGUUAGUAGACAAAUCAAUCAGAAAUGACAAACAAUAGUUCAUUAAUAUCAAUGAUUGUAAUUAAUCUAGACUUAUUCUACCAAUUAAUCAAUUUAGUCCACUUAUCUUUCGACCUGAUGGAUCUAAAUGGGACAACUGAAUCAGUUCUGGCUAAAAUCUCCUUUCAAUCUCAUUUACCCAAAUUUCCAUCUAGAGUUAUCAAUUUGAUCCAAUUAAUCAAUUCAAAACCUUAAAUUAAAUUAACUAUUCCCACUUCAAUUAAGCAACUUUCUUAAAAAUUUAGUUAAAACCCAUUCUAAUGAUAUCAGAUCCACUUAAUUCGUAAACCAUCAAUAAAGUUAAUGAUAAGAAAGAAUAGAGUUGAGAGAUGCUCAAUAAUCCGAAAAUUUCUGAUUGUGGAGAUCCUCUUUGAGUAGCAACUGAAAUCCUCGUAACGAAAGCAUGAAAUGAAAAAUAAAUAUAUUUUUAUUAAAAUGAGUAUAAAGUGAGUGAAAAGAAAAAGAAAGGAAAACGGAUAAGGCUCUGAUUAAACUUACCUUAAACAAGUAAAUAUAUUUUGUUCAAAUUUAUAAUUUAUUAUAUUUAUCUGUAAUCCUCACUAUAAAAAAGCCUUCCAAAUAUGCUUCCUCACCUUAUCAUUUUUGCUUUUUUUCAAGUGCCCUUAUAAUUUUUGUUAAUCUUUCUUUUCCCUUAAUUAAAGCUUGAUGGCUUAUAUUAUAUAUAUAUAUAUAUCCAUUUAAAAAAAAGUGUCACUAAACUAUUGCUUUUGUUCUGUUUUGGUCAUUAAAUUAUUAAUUUUUUUGAUUUAGUUACUAAAGUUUUUGAAAUAAAUUAUUUUGAUCACUUUCUCGUUAAUUGUCAUUAGAUAAGUGAGGAAAAGCUGACAGAGGUUUGUUUUAUUGUUCAAAUUAAUCCUUAUAUAUUAAAUAAAAAUUUAAUUUAAUCCUUAAAUUAAACUAAAAAUUCAAAUAAACUCAGAAUAUCGCAACUUUUUCAUUAUAUAUAUAUUUCUUUUUCCAAAUAAUAAAUUUAAAUUUAUUAUGAUUAUCACAACUUUUGUUUCAAUAUAACUACUAUCAUCUAUUUUCACUUUUUAAAUUGAUUAUAAAUAUUAUUUAAAUGUUAAUUUAGUAAUAUGAUAAAAAAAUAAAUGAUAUUUUUAUGGGUUCAAUUUUUUUAAAACUUAUACUUUUAUAGAUAUUAUAGAUAGAUUAUAGAUUAUAGGAAUAGGGUCUAAUGGCCAAAAAGAAAAAUUAUGUACUGUCUAUGUGAACUUGUGAAGGCAUUAUACAAUGGAUCAUCAAAGUGUAAAGAUGAGUAUUAGAUAAAUUGAAAGUGAGUUGAUAAAGUCGUCCACUCAUUUUACUUUUAAAUAAAAAAAAUUUAAACAAAAAACAUUACUUUUGUUCUACGUACCUUUAUGUUUGUAUUCUCAUUCUAUUAAUUAAGAACUGCUUCUUGCAAUUGUUUUCCCAGCAAGAUUUCUGAGCUCACUCACUAUUAUGGCUUGGUCUGCUGUGACAUCUGCAGUGACAACAAUUGGCAACCUGCUAACUCAGGAAGCCAUAUACUUAUGGGGUGUGGAGGAGGAAGUUGAUCGUCUGCAAACAGAGCUCAAAUGGAUGCAAAGCUCCUUAAUGGAGGCAGAGACAAAACAAUCAAAGGAUGAGAGGAUUCGUCUUUGGGUUGCUGAAAUCAGAGAGCUUGCUUAUGAUGCUGAGGAUGUUGUCAAGGAAUUUGCUCUCAAGAUUGGAUCCAAAAACAAAGGAGGUCUUCCGAGUCGUAUUAAAAGAUCAGCCUGCUGUUUGAAAGAGGGAUGGAUGCUCCACAAAACCAGGUCAAAAAUCGAGAAAAUCAUAGAAAGAAUCAAUGACUUGGUCCGACGACUACAGACCUACGGAGUAAAGGAAUUAAAGGACAGAGGAGAAGAAUCAAGUUCUUCAACUGAAAGACGAGAAUCAAGGCCGCCUUAUCCACAUAUUAUGGAUGAUAAUAUUGUUGGACUAGUUGAUGAUACUGAGGGACUGGUCAAAGUUCUUAAGAACGAAAGUGGAUGCAAGGUUGUUACAAUAUGGGGCAUGGGUGGUCUGGGAAAGACCACUCUCGCCAAGAAUAUAUAUCACCAUCAUCAGGUUAUUGAUUAUUUCGACCACUUGGCUUUUGUAUAUGUUUCUCAACCAUGCCGGAAAAGAAAUGUUUGGGAAGACAUUCUAUCUGGUUUCAAAACUUUAGAUGACGCGGAUAGGAAGAAAAGAGAUGAAGACUUAGCAGAGAAGUUGUGUAACAAGUUGGAGGAGAAAAAGUGUCUAGUGAUACUUGAUGAUAUUUGGACCAGUGAAGCUUGGGAUAGUCUAAAACCUGCCUUUCCAGUUGCAACGGGCCGUCAUAGCAAUAGCAAGAUAUUGCUCACCUCUAGAAACAGGGGGAUAGUUCCAUAUGCUGACAUAAGAGGUAAAAUUUUCUUUAUUAGGUAAAAUUGAAAACUCUUAUUCCUUUUAUGGAAAAUAACUAUGUAUAUUAUUUCAGAGUUGAAGUGCCUAAACGAUCAACAAUGUUGGGAAUUGUUUCAAAAGAUUGUAUUUCCUCAAACAGGUAAAUAUAGAUAUAGCAAAAUUCUUGUUAUAUGCUAAAUUUAUUUUUCAUUUUUAAAUUUUUUUGACAAUAAUUAAAAUUAAAAAUAUAUAAAAUCUAUUUUAUUUAAAAAUUUCAAAACCUUAAUGUGAAAUAAAUAAAAGAAAUCAAGGCUUUGUAGUUUAUCAAUUAAUGGUACACGCACAUAAAUAUAAUUAAUAGGUAAAUUUAUUAUAUUUAUAUUAUAAUUUUUUAAUAACUUCGCUAUUAUUUACCGGGAAUAAAUUAUAUUAGGAUUAUCUUGAAAAAAAUAUAGUUUUUAGGCACUAAUAAAAUAGUGUCACAUCGUUAAAUUUUUAAGAUAACAAAAAAUUGUUAUACACUCAUUUAUAUUUAAUAUUUUCUCCAACUUAAUUUAAUUUUAAUUAAAUUAUUUAAAAUAAUUAAUUUUUUAAAUUAUAAACAAACAUCUUCUCUUCUUUUACAAAUUUUAAUCAUUUUGUUUUUUUUCAUAAGUUAAUAUUUUUUAUUUUUGUACAACUUAAUAUUUUUUAUUUUUGUACAUCCAAUUUAAAAAAAAUAGUAAUUUUUGUGCAAUAAUUUUCAUGUCAUUGACACAUAAUUUUGAUAAUUAUUUUAUCAUGAACCCAAAAUCUAGAACCUUGAACUCGAACCCUGAACCUAAACCUUGAAUCCCGAAUCUCGCAGUUCAAGGUUUGGAUUUGAGAUUUAAAGUUCAGAAUUUGAGGUUCAAGUUUAAAGUUUAAGGGUUCAGGGUAAAAAAAUUACCAAAAUUAUGUGUUAAUGACAUAGAAAAAAUUGUUGAAAUGUUAUUAAAUAAUCGAAAAUGGACAAUAAAUAAUGUGAUCAGAAAGGUCCAUAAAAUAAUUUCUCUAUGGAUGAGUGUAUAAUAAUAAUUCAUGUGUUUAAAAUUUGAUGAUGUGACAAAAAAAAUUUAAUUUUUAGGAUGAUCCUAAUUUUACUUUAUUGGACUAUAUGUUUGUUUAGUUAGGUUUUUUACCUAAAUAGGAUAAGAAAAAAAAACUACUGAAAUAGGGUGUCAGAAAAAGUAUUUACCAAAAUGGGUAACUUUUUUUAUUGGAGCCUAUUAGAUAGGCGCCAAUGAAUAAAAAAAUAUUAAAAUUUUUUUUAAUGGUGCCUAUUAGAUAGGCGCCAAUGAAUAUUUUAUAUUAAAAAAAAUUUAUAAAAUAUAAUUAAAUAUUUUUCCGGGUUAGUAUAUGACCCGUAUAAUACAUAGUAUUGGUGCCUAUCUGAGAGGUGUCAUUAGUGGUGCCAUGUUGAGAGGCGCCAAUGGUAUUAUUUUAUAUAAAAAUUUGUUUCAAAAAAUCAAUAAAUACUGUUAAAUAAAUACAAAAUCAAAUAAAAUUACAUAAUAUAAAAGUUACAUUAUAUAAAAAUUAAAUGAGUUAACAACUACUAUAUGAUUAAAAAAGUCAGUUAUAAUUAAACUUUUAAUAAAAUAAUUUUUAAUUUUUUUAUAAACUUUUAUGUUAAACUCACCAAAUACUAAACUAAACACAACAAUUUAUAGCUUAAUCCUAAUAAAUUAAAUUUUAAAUAAUUACAAACACAAAAAUUUAUAACAUAAUCCUAAAUUACUAACAAUUUAAUUAUAAAAUAAUUACAAUAUUCAUACAAAAUUACAAUAUUCAUACAAACAAUAUUACAAUAUUCAUACAAAAUUACAAUAUUCAUACAAAAUUACAAAAUUACAGUAUUCAUAUAAAAUUACAAAUUACAAUAUUCAUACAAACAAUAUUACAAUAUUCAUACAAAAUUACAAAAUUACAAUAUUCAUAUAAAAUUACAAAAUUACAAUAUUCAUACAAACAAUAUUACAAUAUUCAUACAAAAUUACAAAAUUACAAUAUUCAUAUAAAAUUACAAAUUACAAUAUUCAUACAAAAUUAUAAAAUUACAAUAUUCAUAAAAAUACUAAUCAAAAACUAUAAAUACAAAAUUAAUUAUAAAAUAAUUACACUAUUCAUACAAAAUUACAAUAUUCAUACAAAAUACUAAUCAAAAAAUAUAAAUAUACAAAAUUAAUUAUAAAAUACUUUACAUUAUUCAUACCAAAAUUACAAUAUUCAUACAAAAUACUAAUCAAAAACUAUAAAUACAAAAUUAAUUAAUAAAAUAAAUUACAAUAUUCAUACAAAUUACAAUAUUCAUACCAAAUACUAAUCAAAACAUAUAAGUACAAAAUUAAUUAGAAAAUAAUUACAGUCAUAAACAAAAUUACAAAAUUACAUAUUCAUAAAAAAUACUAAUCAAAACUAUAAGUAACAAAAGUAAUGAUAAAAAAGUACACUAGUCAUACAAAUAUACAAAAUUACAAUAUUCAAUACAAAUACUAAUCAAAAAAUAUAAAUACAAAAUUAAUUAUAAAAUAUUAAAAUAUUCAUACAAAAUUACAAUAUUCAUACAAAAUACUAAUCAAAAACUAUAAUACAAAUUAAUUAUAAAAAUAAUUGACAAUAUUCAUACAAAAUUAUAAUAUUCAUAUAAAAUUACAAAAUUACAAUAUUCAUACAAAAUUACAAUAUUAAUUAUAAAAUAAUUACAAUAUUCAUACAAAAUUACAAUAUUCAUAUAAAAUUACAAAAUUACAAUAUUAAUUAUAAAAUAAUUACAAUAUUCAUACAAAAUUACAAUAUUCAUACAAAAAGUUACAAUAUACAUACAAAAUUACCCAUUGGCACCUCCCUAUGAGGCACUUUUAAUGGUGCCUCCCUAUGAGGCACUUUUAAUGGUGCCUCCCUAUGAGGCGCCACCCGACCCGUUUUCCCUUUUGACCUUUUGAUCGUAUUUUGACCCGUAUUUUUAUUUAAAUUUUUUUAAAAAAUAAUAAUAUUUUAUUUAAAAAAAGAAAAAAAAAUUUAAUAUUUUUUAUUCAUUGGCGCCUAUCUAAUAGGCUCCAAUGAAAAAAAGUAACUCAUUUUGGUAAAUACUUUUUCUGACACCCUAUUUCAGUAGUUUUUUUUUUCUUAUCCUAUUUAGGUAAAAAAACCCUUGUUUAGUUUCUUAAGCACUUUCAUGCUAUUCUUUUAUAUGUUUAUCCUGGGUCCUUGCAUCAGAAUGAUGGAGGCGCAGGUAAACCAUUCUUAUCAAGAGUAAAGCCCAAGAAAGAUGGUCGUUGAUUCGAACAACCAGCACAUCUCUUUACGACCCUAUUUAGCAAACCAAUCCGCUAACCUAUUGGCUUCUCGUCUAAUAACAUUGACUUUCAAAGAAGAAAGUUGCAUGACCAGCUUAUCAAAAACCUGAAGGACUAGCCUUAACCUCCAUUUUCGAUCUUGACUCUUCUUCUUAAUAUUCGAAGCAAUAGUCUGGGAGUCAGUCUUGAUUGUCACAUUGGUCCAUUUGUUCUUCAUAGCUAAUUCAAUCCAUCCAACCAUAGCUUUAGCCUCGACAACCUCACAUGAAUCCACUUAAUCCUUUUACCAAUCCCAUCCAGCAUCUUCCCACUUAAAUUUCUGCCUAUUACUCUAAUACCAGCACAAGCUAUUAAGGUGUCAAAUGCCCCCAUCACAAUUAACUUUAACCCAACCUACUGGUGGUUUCUCCCAUAUAUCAGCACAAGUAUUUGACUUCCUAGUUCGAUCAGGGUUAUUGUUUGAACAGAGGAUCCAUUGAGCAGAUAAGAAUUCAUUCAUGGAGCAAUUAAUCCUUCGAAUAAUUCUCUCCAAACCAAGUUUCACACCUCCAAUUGUAGCCUCACACCUAGCUUUCCAGAUGUGCUAGCAAGUGAACACAAUUCUAACUUUGAAAUCCUCCCUCAUACAAGGCAUUUGUAACAACUUUGAGAACCAUCUGUCAAAUGAUUGAGUUUGAUCAUUUAGCCCUUGAAGACCAAAACAAGCCUCAUACUAUAUUCCCCUAACCCAAUUACAACUAAGAAUAAUAUGUUCAAAGUCUCAUCUUCAAUACCACAUAAACAACAAAUUGGGUUCGAAACACACUUUCUUUUCCACGGAUUAAAACGAGAUGGAAUAGCAUUAUGACAAUUUCUAUAAGAAAAUUUUAACUUUGUUCGGUACCUGUAAGCUCCAAAUAGCUUUCCAAGUGCUCCUAUCAAUUGAGUGAGACCUGGAAGGUUGUAAAGAAGACUCAUUUCCAUAGUGCUUUCUCAACUCCUUGUACCCUGACUUCAUCGGAUAUUGACCAACAGCUGUAGAGGACCACGCCAAUUUAUCUUGUUCAUCUGUUUCUUGAAGGGGAACUUUUAAUUUCGCAAUUUCAAUAUUUUCUAACCACAUUGAGAUACUGGGUAAUUCCCAAUUUAGUUCUUCUAAUCAAAUGAUCUUAGCAACUCUUGCUGGUGAGGAUCCGUUAAUAUUUCCAGGAUGCUUUAAUUUCCUAUCUUUAACUCCCAGCAACCAUCUAUCUUCCCAAAUGCGGAUGCUUUCGCCAUUUAGCACUUGCCAAAUCGAAGUCUCCUUUUAAAAACUCUUUCCCUUCAAGAAUGCUACUCCACACCCAUGAUGACCUAGCUCCCUUUUUAGCUUCAAGGCAAUUAGAACUAGGGAAAAAGAGUCCUUUUAAAAUCCUAGCCCAAACAGCAUCAGGAUCCUGGACUAACUGUCAAGAUUGUUUUGCAAGUAGAGCAAGUCCUCCAAGCUUUUCAAUGAAUACGUCUCUCAUUUUCCUUCUGCUGAAUUCAUUUCCACGCAUAUCAAAUUAGGAAAUUCGAAAAGAUAUCGUAUACAUUGAAGCGCAUGCUACUGCUUUAAUAAUAACCUCCCUUCCCCUUCAAGAUAACGUUUGCUGCUUCCAGCCCUUAAGUUUGGUAAGGACCAUUUUUUUUUUUUUUGGUGAAAGUGAGGACCUUAUCUUUGAUAUGCCACAAAGAAGGGACACCCAAGUAGACGACCGAAUUAUUUGCCACCUCUAUAUUAGUCUCUUCUUGAAUCAACCUUUCGUUGACCCUUCGGGAGUAUUUGUUGGAAAUUGGCCAACCAUGCUGCUGUUACAUGUUUUGGUUGAAGUGCAUGCAGCUUUGCUUGCUGUAACAGCAAGGUUUUCUUUUUAGUUUCAUUCUAAUUAAACAAGUUGAAAAUGAACAAGUUGAUGACAACUUGAUGCAUUAGGUGUUGAAUGACUAGUUUAGGUGGCUUGUUUAUGUGUACAAGCAAUGUUUAUCAAGUUACUAGGCUACUUAGUGGUAGUAGGUAGUAUUUGGUGAUGUAUUUGACUAUAAAUGUAUUGUUUUUCUAGUUGAAUGAAUGAGCUGAAUGAGCUAUCAGCCAUAAGCUCCCUUGCUGCACAUUUGUGAGCAAGUAAAAAUACUUCUUGCAUCUUGCUUCAUUGUUCUGUGCUCUCUGUUCUCUUCUUUUGCUGCUGCCAAUGUUCCAACAGUAUUCACACUAAAAAGGUUGCUUGAUUUAUCGUACUUGACCUUUCGUCCAGAAGCUGCACAGUAUUCUUGAAAGUUAAUCAUUCUCCUACAAUUUAACGAAUUAGCUUCCAAAAAGAAUAGAGAUCGUUCGCGAAUAACAAAUGUGACACUAUUGGAUAAUGACUACCAAGGCUAAUCCCAGAAAUAAAACUAGACUCGACUCUAAGGCUAAUCAUACGAGGGAGGACAUUCACAACAAAAAGGAAGAGGUAAGGUGAUAGAGGGUCACCUUACCUUAGAACUCUAGAUGGAUAGAUUUUUCUACUAGAUUUACCAUUAAUAAGCAAAGUGUAAGAAACACUCCUCACACACUCCAUUAUCCAGUCAAUCCAUGUUAAAGCAAAUCUCAUUUUUCUUAAAAUAGUUUCCAGAAAUCUCCACUCUACUCUGUCAUAUACUUUAUUCAUGUCGAGCUUCCAAGCAACCUCAUAUUUCUUACCCCUCUUCUUCAAUUUCAAAUGAUGAAAACCUCUUGAGCAAUUAAGAUGUUAUCAUUUAUUUGUCUACCUGCUACCACAAAAGCACUUUGAUUAUUCAUAAUCACCACCCCUAGAACUCCUUUCAAUAUAUUCAUCAUGAUCUUCGAUAUGAUUUUAUAGGCAAAAUUAUAAAGAUUAAUUAGUCUAAAUUAUGUAAUUAAUUCAAAUUAAACAUUUAGUCUUCAGAGUUAAAAUUAUUUCAAUCUCAUUUAAACCCAUUGGAAAUUUCCCUUCCCUAAAAAAAACUCUUAAUAGUUUCUAAAACAUCCUUUUUAAUAAUUUCCCAAUAAUUAUGAUAGAAAUUCCACUAAAAUCAUUCGCAAAAAAGAGAUUAAUUUAAUUGUUUUGUAUGCUUAACUUGUACAAUAUAAGUAAAAUCUUAUAAUCUUAUCUCCAAAUUCUCUCACCACAAUUUUCUAACCCUUAUUUAUAUUCUCAUUUGUAUCUAAUAGGAUAUCCAAUUUAAAAUUAAAUAGUCUUUUUUAUAUAAUGAAUUAUAUUUUUAUUUGAAUCUCCUCUUAAAUUAGUUAGAGUGAAGUUUCUUAUUUAGUAUUGACUGUUUCAUAAAGUAUUCAAAGUUUUCAAAUAGAUUUAUUUUUUUAAGUGUAGUUAAUAAGCGUAAUAAAAACUAAAUUUUAUAAGUGAUGAAUUUAUAUUAAAUAUUAUUUAAUAAAUUAAUAAAAUAUAAGUUUGAGUUCAUCUAUUUUUACAUUUCUUUCACCUACUUAAAUUAAUUCCUAAUUUUCCUUAUUUUUUUUAAAUUUAUUCCUAAUUUUUUAUACAGGAAAUAAAACCGGUGAGGAAAUAAAAGAGUUGGGAGAGAACAUGGUUAAACAUUGUGCAGGGCUGCCAUUAGCCAUUGUUGUAUUGGGAAGAAUUUUGGCUACAAAGAAUAAUUCAUUAAACGAAUGGCGAAAGAUAUCUGACAAUGUAAAAUCACACUUGAAGAGAGGCAAAAAUCAAGGACCAGAGGAUGUGUUAGCAUUAAGUUAUGAUGAUUUGCCUCCCUAUCUAAGACCAUGUUUCCUCUAUCUAAGCCAUUUUCCAGAGGAUUACAUGAUAGAUGUGGAUAGAUUGAUUCAAUUAUGGGUUGCUGAAGGUAUUUUGUCAUCAAAGCAAGAAGAAAGAGAUGGUGGGGAAAUUGUGGAAGAUGUGGCGGAAUCUUAUUUAAUGGAGCUUGUGGAAAGGUGCAUGAUUCAAGUACGAGAAAGAGAUGUGGCAACCUUAAAGGUCAAAACAAUUCAGAUGCAUGAUAUGAUGAGAGAUCUUUGCUUAUCAAAGGCAAAACAAGAAAAUUUUGUCUUCAUUAUCGAUCAAUCAAAUGCAUCUUCAUUAUCUAUGAUUCGGAAGGUUCGUAGGGUUUCUGUGCAUGAGUUUUUUUUCAUACAAUGCAUUAAAAGUCCAAAUAUUCGGUCACUUUUGUUCUUCAAUGAGUUCUUUCCGGAGGAGGCUUUAGAAAAAUCUUUUCCCUUGGAAGUGUUGAAUUACGUUGAAGAACAUGUAGAUGUUCGUAAUCCACUUGUUUGGAUUCUUAGGAUUUCGCUAGCUGGUACGAAACUUCUUAAAACUCGGGGAGUUUGGAGAUACAUGUUCAACAACUUCAAUUUGCUAAGAGCCCUAAACUAUGAGAGAACAACAGGUAUUAAAAUUGUAGGGUUUAAGUUACCCAGAGAUAUAGGAAAUCUCAUCCAUUUAAGAUUCUUGAGUCUAAAGGAUCUUGAGUUCGUAUGGCCAAAGUUGCCAUCAUCUCUAGGUAACUUAAGGUGCUUGCAAACCUUGGAUUUAAGAGUUGGUAAUUACGGAAUUCAUGUACCUAAUGUGAUAAGGAGGAUGGAGCAACUAAGACAUUUAUAUCUCCCCCUCUAUUGUAAAAGCAGUACUAAGUUGAAGUUGGGUACUUUGAGAAAACUCCUAACAAUUGUGAACUUCAACACCAAGAAUUGUUAUCUGAAUGAUCUUAUCAACAUGACAAAUCUUAGAGAGUUGGGGAUAAAUUGGCCCUUCAAUAUUGAAAAUUUCAAUGAGAAGGAGUUGGGCGAGAAUCCACCCAUAAUCGGAAGUAAAUAUCUUCAUUCCUUGUCUAUUAUUACCUCUGGGGACGAAUCAAUAGAUCCAAAACAUUUGGCCCAUCUCCUUUCAAAUUGUACAAGUAUUUGCAAGUUGAGUGUAGAAACAAGGAUAAGUGAGUUACCAGAGUAUCACUACUUCUCUUCACAUCUCGCUUACAUACAGUUGAGACGGUGCGAGCUUGAGAAAGAGCCAAUGCCAACACUAGAGAAGCUGCCUAACUUAAGGAUUCUUGAAUUAGAAGAAACUUUCAAAGGAAAGGAAAUGUUUUGCUCUGCACAGGGUUUUCCUCGUCUUGAGUCUCUAAAUAUUGGGGAGCUAUGCAAUUUUGAGGAGUGGGAGGUGGAUGAAGGAGCCAUGCCUUCUCUUCAGCGAUUGGAGAUCACGCGUUGCCCAAGAUUGAAGAUGCUUCCAGAGGGAUUGAGGUUCAUUACAACCCUCAAAGAACUGAAGAUUGAAUCAAUGCCAAAGGCAUUCAAAGAUAGAUUGGAGGAGGAAGGAGGAGAAGAUUUCUACAAAGUCAAACAUGUUCCUUCUAUCAUAUUCCAAAACAUCUUGCGCUAAAAAAUUGAAUGAUAAUUGAGAGGUAAUUUCAUAACCUCUAGUUUAGGAAAUGAUUCCUACUUUCUUUGCUGCUUAUAUAUCUUUCGUUUUUGACGAUGUCUCACAUUCUCACUGUUGAAUAUUGGCAAUAUCCCACAUUAGGAAAAGAUAGAAAGGGAGGGGGUUUGGUUUGUUAUAUAUAGAACCCCUCCCCCUUUGGUUGUAUCAUCCCAAAAUCUUCUCCUUUGUAAUAUUUCUAGAAGAAAUAUUAAUUUGGUAGUGUCCGAGGACGUAAGCUAAAUUGGCCGAACCUCGUUAAAUUUCUGGUAUUUUAUUUCUUAUUUGUUUGCUUAUAUUUAAUAGCUUUAUGUUGGUUAUAUUUAUUUAGUUAUUAUUGCUAUAAAUAUCUAAGUGAGUUCUGUCUAGUUGUUGGGUUUUAAGCGGGACCAUUUGUGACCCCUCCAAUUUAACUGGGAAUUUUCUUAGUAUAAUUGUUGGCAUAAUAAUUAUCUAAAUAUUUCUGAUAAUAUUGUUAUUAAUAUUAUCGUCGCUUCCGCAACAAUUGAUAUCCGAGCCAAGGUUUUGUAGUAUGCUCUGUGUUUGCAGCUUAGUCUGAUCUUACACAUCAGAAACAUUUCCUAAAGCUUGUGGGUAUUCUGCAUUUGGUGGCUAUUAAGUAGAAGCUAUGGCAAAAAUGACAGAAGAAAAACCAUCCAUAUCAACAACUUCCACUUCGUACAUUUUGCCGAGGAUUGGAACUGCAAAUACGAGAUUUGUAGUGGAAAUUUUUGAUGGAACAGGUCAUUUUGGCAUGUGGCAAAGUGAGCUUCUAGAUGCCCUCUUUCAACAGGGUCUAGAUAUUGCCAUUGAGGAAGAAAAACCAGAAGGGGUUGAUGAUAAAGAAUGGAAGACCAUCAAUCGAUUGGCAUGUGGUACAAUUCGAUCAUGUCUUUCCAGAGAGCAGAAGUAUACAUUCAGUAAAGAGACUUCUGCAAGUAAAUUGUGGAAAGCAUUGGAGGAGAAAUUCUUGAAGAAGAACAGUCAAAAUAAGUUGCAUAUGAAGAAAAGACUGUUUCGUUUCAAUUAUGUUCCUGGUACCACGAUGAACGAGCACAUUACCAAUUUUAAUCAGCUGGUGGCUGAUUUGUUGAAUUUGGAUGUGACUUUUGAAGACGAAGACUUGGCGUUAAUGUUGUUGGGAUCGCUUCCUGAGGAGUUUGAGUACCUUGAAACUACUCUACUUCAUGGAAAAUCGGAAGUAACUUUCAAUGAAGUAACUGCUGCAUUGUAUAGCUAUGAACUACGCCGAAAGGAUAAGUUGAAAGGUUCAGGUGAAGCAGCAGUGGAAGCAUUGGUAACAAGAGGUCGUCAGCAAAGUCAGUCUAAUGGGAAGAGAAGAAAGUCCAAAGGUCGAGCUGUUGCCAAAGAUGAAUGUUCCUUUUGCAAAGAAAAAGGACAUUGGAAGAAAGAUUGUCCAAAAUUGAAGAAAAAAGGGAAGACUCCGCAAGAUGCAAAUGUUGCAGAAUGCAAUAGUGAAGCAGAGUCAGACUUUUCUCUUAGUAUGACAUCUUCAACAUUAUAUGCAGAUGAGUGGAUCAUGGAUUCUGGUUGUUCCUAUCAUAUGUGUCCCAUUCGGGAAUGGUUCUUUGAAUUUCAAAAACUAGAUGAAGGGGUUGUUUACAUGGGUAAUGAUAACACAUGUAAAAUAGCCGGGAUAGGUUCAAUUAAACUGAGGAGUCAUGAUGGAUCUACUAGAAUUUUGCGGGAUGUACGAUAUGUCCCAAAGUUGAAGAAGAAUCUCAUCUCUUUGGGGUCGUUAGAAUCUAAAGGCCUAGUUGUGACAAUACGAGAUGGAGUUCUUAAAGCAACUUCAGGAGCAUUGGUGAUGUUGAAAGGCAUAAGAAAGAACAAUCUGUAUUACUACCAAGGUAGUACAGUGGUCGGGACAACAGCAGCAGCAAUUUCGAGUACCAAGAAGGACGCUGAGGCAACACAGCUGUGGCAUAUGCGUUUGGGCCAUGCUGGUGAAAAAUCCUUGCAAACUCUAGCCAAGCAAGGAUUAUUGAAAGGUACAAAGACUUGCAAACUUGAAUUUUGCGAGCAUUGUGUUCUGGGAAAACAACGAAGGGUGAAAUUUGGCACUGGGAUUCACAAUACUAAAGGUAUUCUGGAUUAUGUGCAUUCUGAUGUAUGGGGACCGUCCAAGACUCCAUCACCUGGAGGAAGACGUUAUUUUGUCACCUUUAUUGAUGAUUUUUCCAGACGAGUUUGGGUGUUUCCUAUGAAGAACAAAGAUGAGGUGCUUGAAGUUUUCCUUAAGUGGAAAACUAAAGUUGAAAAUCAGACAGGAAGGAAGAUUAAGGUUCUCCGAUCAGACAACGGUGGAGAAUAUAAAAGCGAUCCAUUCCUGAAGAUAUGCCAAGAUUGUGGCAUAGUAAGGCACUUCACCGUAGGUGGAACACCGCAACAGAAUGGGGUGGCAGAGCGUAUGAAUCGAACGCUUGUGGAGAAAGUUCGAUGUAUGUUAUCUAAUGCUGGAUUAGAUAGAAAGUUUUGGGCUGAGGCUGUGACGUACGCUCAACAUCUCAUCAAUCAUUUGCCAUCAUCUGCUAUAAAUGGCAAGACUCCUUUGGAGAAAUGGUAUGGAAAACCUGCUACUGAUUAUGACACCUUGCGCAUUUUUGGUUCUAUUGCAUAUUAUCAUGUGAAAGAAUCAAAGUUAGAUCCAAGAGCAAAGAAGGCUCUAUUCAUGGGCUUCAAUGCUGGUGUUAAGGGAUAUCGUUUGUGGUGUCUAGAGGCAAAGAAGACGAUAAUCAGUAGGGAUGUUACCUUUCAUGAAUCUGCCAUGUUGAAUAAGGUAAAUCCAGAAGGAGUGAGUAGUACUUCGCAGCAGGUGGAGUGUACUCCGCAGCAGGUGGAGUUUGAGCAGAGUGUGGUAAUUCCAGCAGAAGGUACCACUAGUGAUUCUUCAUUGGCAGAUGCAGAGUCAGAUGAGGAAGAGGUUUCUACCCAAGAACCUCAACAGCAAUCAGAGCCAAUUGCAGUCAGAAGGCAGAGACGAGAAAUUCAGAAACCAGCUCGUUUCACUGACAUGGUAGCUUAUGCACUUCCAGUUGUUGAUAAUAUUCCAUCCACUUACACCGAAGCCAUUCAGAGUUUAGAGAAUAAUAGAUGGUUAAGUGCAAUGGAAGAGGAAAUGCAAUCUCUAGAGAAAAACAAGACGUGGAAGCUGGCACAACUACCAAAAGGGAAGAAGGCGAUUGGUUGCAAAUUUGAAGACACUAUUGAAGUUAGUGUUAUGAGAAGAUGUUCGAAGAUGUGGAAUAUCGCCAAGGUGGAGAUUUGUUGAAUAUUGGCAAUAUCCCACAUUAGGAAAAGAUAGAAAGGGAGGGGGUUUGGUUUGUUAUAUAUAGAACCCCUCCCCCUUUGGUUGUAUCAUCCCAAAAUCUUCUCCUUUGUAAUAUUUCUAGAAGAAAUAUUAAUUUGGUAGUGUCCGAGGACGUAAGCUAAAUUGGCCGAACCUCGUUAAAUCUCUGGUAUUUUAUUUCUUAUUUGUUUGCUUAUAUUUAAUAGCUUUAUGUUGGUUAUAUUUAUUUAGUUAUUAUUGCUAUAAAUAUCUAAGUGAGUUCUGUCUAGUUGUUGGGUUUUAAGCGGGACCAUUUGUGACCCCUCCAAUUUAACUGGGAAUUUUCUUAGUAUAAUUGUUGGCAUAAUAAUUAUCUAAAUAUUUCUGAUAAUAUUGUUAUUAAUAUUAUCGUCGCUUCCGCAACACUCACUCCAUUUGCCAACACACCAAUGAAUAAUUACAUUUAUUAAAAGUCAAAGGAAGCCAGACAUUGAUCUUUUUAGUUUUGCUUUUCAGGUAAAGACGCCAUUUUUUCACCUGCUACUGCUAUUCAAGGGAUCAAAUCUAUAUUUAAAACUCCUAUUAUAAGUGGCGUGUGAAUGUGUGUUAUAUGGUGAGAUUUGGAAUUACCUUCUCUCUUGUAUAUAUCUAUGGUUGUUGAUAUCAGACUGGUUGACUGUUUGUUGUUGUCUUCAAAUUACAAUAAAACGGUUGCAAGAUAAGGUAUUGGAAGAAUGGGAGGUCUCUGGAUUAGCAAGGUACCAAACCCCUCCUCCAUUUCUAUUUCCUUCAAUCUAAGUUAAUUACACAUUCAUUUUUGUCUUUUAAAACAUAAAAUUGCAGAUAAGGAGACGUCACUGACCUUUGUUCCCACCUAGCUUUGGUUUGCGGUCACCAUUCCUAUAUUUAUUUGUUAGCUUUGCUUUCUCUUUCUUUUUUUUCCCUACUUAAGUCUGCUUGAGUCUUUUUCUUUUUUUAUAUAUACUUAAUGUAAUAGUAGAAGCCAAGGCAGGACCAUGCUUUUCUAUUGUAAAAUUCAUCACUUCGUUGUCUAUGUUCAUUUCUACUCUUCAGUUUACUUAAUAUAAUUGUUUGAUAUAUAUUUAAAUAUGCAGAAUAUAAUCUUUUUAAUAUAUACAUAUUUUAGAAGAAAUUGAAUAUAUGUCUGUUAGACACAUUUCCCGUUUCAACAUAUUUCCUUAUUUUAUGCAAGCCGAUUGGUAUUUAACAUAAUCUUUUCCGUUAUCCUUAACUCUAUAAUCCUUGUUACAAUAUCAUAUCAAGUUUAAUGGUUGCACUUCAUCCCCACACUUCCAAAGCAAAAAAUAGGAAAAAUUAAAUCUUACCAACUAAUAACACUUUCAAAUUACAGUGUCUUCCAAAAAAAAAGAAAGAAGAUACAAUUUGAAUUUUUUUGUCAAAUGGUUUAGCAAACUAUGCUUUAUAAAAGGCAAAGGAAUCCAAGGGAAUCAAAGAUUCCAAAAUCGAUAUUUAGAUUCAAGAUUUUGUAUCCUCAUGCUUUGCUUCUUAUAUCUACCAACAAUCUCUCGAUGAUAAUAAACUAAAAAAAAAUAUUCAAAGGAAUCGAAGAUUCCAAAUCCAACUUAAUAGAUUGAAAAUUUCACAUCCACUUAAUUAAUUCAAAUGAUAUUUAUUCAAUAAGUUUAAAUUAAAAACUGCAAAAAUCUUCAUUUAUCUUUUAUUCGAAAUAUAAUUCGGAUUCAAUGAAAAUAUUGAACAUAUAAUGAGUGCACAUGGAAAUGUCCAAAUCUUUAAAUAUAGGGUCGACAUGGGAGAAAUCUCCUAAUACCCAACGUUAAAGAUUUAUAGAAUUCAAUAUGAUCCUAUUAUUUUCGUUAUGAAACUCAAUAUCUUAUUCGGAUUAGGAUACGAGCGAAUAACAGAUAACUAUUUGUAGUUCAAGGUGUGAUAAAAUCUCAGUAGCUAAGAUAUGAAUGUUGCAAAAUACCAUACAAAAUCACAGCCACAUUUGUUAGUAUGACUAUUUUGGGUAAUCAAAGGAAAAAAAUGUUAGCUGUUGAACAAACAAGGUGAACAAAUUAGAUAUUCCAAUUACGUUCAAGCGCUUGACAAAUCCUUUCUGCAAUGGCUUCAGCACGCAUCCUAGGACCUUCAUCAUCUGCAAAAACCGACCAUUUCUAACAACUAAGCUAACAUCACACAUGAUAAUAUAUGUAUAUAACAUAUAUAGAAGAUGAUUAUGUGGAUUAAAAGCUAUGUUAGUUUGACUCAAUACAUGACCAUGGGACAUGCAUGAUUCUUCAAUAACGAUAUGAAAAUACUUGGAAGAAAAAUUAAAUCAUCAAUAUCUAACAUUUACAUCUGAGUUCGAGUAAAGUAAAACAUGUCAUUCUAUCUAAACAUGCAAAAUAUCCAAAACUCUUGAUGAAUGUUAGAUACAAAUAUGUAGAAUGUACCCAAAAUACCCAUCUCGAACUCAGUAAAGAAAUAUAUAGCACUAAAAAGGCACUAGCUUCAACCAAGAACAAGGAAGUUUCUUCAAAGGCUUGAUACACUUUCUUCACAGCCAUAUAUAUGUGUGCAUAUACCCAUAUUAAGGAUGAUUGUUUUGGCAAAGAGGAUGAGAAGAUAGAAAGAAAACCUUUAAUCCAAUGACAAUAUUUGAUUAGAACAACAUGACACAUAUAAUUGUGAUUAAAAUUGCGGUCACAAACAUGUUUGCAAUCACAUCAUGUUAACGAAUACUAUCGCAAUCAAUUGCAAUAAAUAUCCACAACAACAAGAGCCAGAAUCCUAAAAACAACAAAGAUAAUACAUUACAGCUGUUAAGGAAUUUUCAAUAACGUAUAUACCUGCAAGAUUUUCAGUGAUGACACAAUAAAAUUCACCACCAGACAACUUCCCAAUCUAAUGAAAUUUUCAAACAUAUCAUGUCAUAAGUUUCAAGAUCAACUGAAACAUGAGGAUACCAAGUAUGAUAAGAAAUUAAAUUAAGGAUUUUCUACUGCAAACCCACCACGAAAACAUAUUUUUUAUUAGGAUCAAAGGCAUAGCCCAUCAUGGCAGCAUUAUUGAGUCCAUUUUCAGAGGAAAAUCCUGAAACAUGUUACAGGCAAAUAUUAAGAAAAACAAUGCACAAGCAAGUAUAAAAAACCUAGCAUGUAAGAAAUCAAUACUUGAAAGGAUUAAAAACACUGCUAACCUAAGACAUUGAAUCUAGCACCACUAGGAAACAUCAGAAAUGAUACUUGUCUUUCAAUGUUGAGAUACAUAGGUCCAAGUCUGCCAUGUUGCGCCAAACGGGAAUUCAUCAAGCUCUUGAGAACCUAAAGGAUGAAAAGUUCCAGUCCAAGUUAUAUAUAUACAGACACACACACAGAUAGACAUGAAGAAAGUGGGUUAAUGGUGUAUUAUUUAAGCAAAGAAAAAGUUGAAAUCUUGAACCUCUAAAUAUUGGGUAACAGCUAGUGUUAAAAGUGCAUAAAGUUCUGCUAUUAUCUACAAGAAACAAUGGAGGAAUCACAUUUCUGGCUACACAAGCAAGCUGAGUCCAUAAACAAAGGCAUACCUUUUUCUCCGUUUUUAAAUGAUUUUCUUGUUUUUCGGCUGUUUUUUAUAUUAAGAGACAGAGAUUGUGAGACCUCGUCAUCCUCAAGGAGUAAGUGGUCAAGCAUGAAGAUGAUGGGAAGACCACGAGUCGAUGGUGGUCGAUCCAUGAGUUGAUUAUGAAUAGUUUCAUGUUAUGAAAUAAAAAUGUUAGCUAUAGUUGAACGCUGUGUUUUAGGGCCGAGGGUUUAAUGAAACUAUAAGUUUUGAUGUUGAAUGAAAACGGUGCGUAUUGACUGUUUGUUACAGCUGCUCGAGGAACAGCCCUAUAACAGACUUUGUAACUGCCAAUUCUCAGCCAUAAUAGAAACUGGCAUGGGAAAUGAGCAGAUAUGCCAUUUUGUGAAGGAAAUCAAUUCUUUCUUCUUCCUCCAUUAUCUUUCUCUUCUCUCUUUUUCUUUCUUCCUCUAUUCUGUUGAAAUUAUGCAUCACUUCACCAGCAUUCAUCAUUGUGGACGUAUCUGAUCUUCAGUCUCUGGUUUACUACCCAUGUAAAGUUAUGGAAAGGAAUGCAAAUUUAAAAGGUUUUCUUGCUAUAGUCUAUGCAAUUUCAUGUGUGCGUGAAAGGAGAUGAAGAUUAAUAGAGUAAUACUGAUAUACCAACAAUUCAUUAAUUGAAGUACUAUCAAUAUUAUCAACAAGUAACAGAAUUAAGUGAGUAUACUAAUAUAGUCUAGAAAAACAAUUUAAUUAAUAAUACCAUAGGGAUGGCAACGGUGUUAAGUUGCUAUUGCUAUUUAUAUCCCGGCUGCUAGCUUUUGACCACUUCACCAAGUAAACUGCAAUCACAAGUGUUGUUCUUAUUACCUGCAAAAACACAGCCAACAAUCUGAAUCCAUAUCCCCAUUUUAGGAACAAAUGCAUGGUGUACCAUUUGUUUCGAAGCCAAAUCAAUUUUCUUAAUUUUUCUUGAAGUAAAACCUUAUCUGACACUUAUAUUCAACACAUAUUCAUGUAUUGGUAUGAAGAUAUGAUACUCUUAUCCUAUACUCAUAUCCGUGCUCAGGUAACAUAAGCUGAACCCGCAAGAUAACUGAUUUAACAUCAUUGCUGCUAGCUAUUGAUGAUUUCACCAAGUAAACUGCAAUCACAAGUGUUGUUCUUAUUCCUUGCAAAAACACAGCCAACAAUCUG